AGGGGUAUAGCUCAGUGGUAGAACAUGUGCUCAGUGUGCAGGAGGUCCUGGGUUCAAUUCCCAGUGCCCCUG
rnacentral:tRNA from 1 species